rnacentral:tmRNA from 1 species
GGGACUGCAAGGCAUCGACAGAGGGAUGCUUUAGCUAUAUGCAUGUCGAGUACGUACGUAUUCUCGUUAACCAUCGUGCAACCUCUAAAUGCAAAAGCAUUUGGUUCAGUAAAGUCUCCAUACUUCAGUAUGUCAGAUUUUGCUUUCGCUCGAGCGUAACGCUCGCGAAUGUCAGACUAUUCUCUGUUCGAUGGAAUAACUCUGACACUAUAUUAUCGAACUAGAGAAAGAGGAGUGUCUCACCUCUUCCUCGAAACAAUGAGACUUUAGUUUCUCUGUAUUUUGUUUGUUUCCUAGCAUAGAAACUGAACACAAAGAAACAUACUACACAUGUAGACGUAUAGGUAAAUCCCCUUUGCACGGGAGUUCAAUUCUCCCCAGUUCCACAA